GGGGGGGGGGGGGGGGGGGGGGGGGGGGGGGGGGGGGGGGGGGGGGGGGGGGGGGGGGGGGGGGGGGGGGGGGGGAAAAAAAAAAAAAAAAAAAAGUUCCGGUUUUAAGUUAAAAAAAAAAAAAAAAAAAACCGUAAGUAAAACGAGGCUGAACUGGGGUGCCGUCCGUCAACCACCGACCGCAGCCGGGGGAGCCGGGGCUGCUUCUUCCUGCCGCAGCGCUCCGCGCCCAGCCCGGAGGGGGAUCGGGGCGGCCCGAGCCGAGCGGAGCCGCCUCGCCGGGGGGGGGGGGGGCCUCGCCGCCUCUCGCACCGACGCCGGGGAGGGCUCAGCGCGGCGCUGGGGCGGCGGCUCCAGGUGCCCUCGGGGCGGCGUGAGAAGCUGGAGAAAUUAUUUAAGAAGCUGA
rnacentral:lncRNA from 1 species